GAUGAACGCUGGCGGCGUGCUUAACACAUGCAAGACGAACGGGAAACCUUUUAAUGAAGCUUCGGCAGAUUUAGCUGGUUUCUAGUGGCGGACGGGUGAGUAACGCGUGGGUAACCUGCCUUAUACAGGGGGAUAACAGUCAGAAAUGACUGCUAAUACCGCAUAAGCGCACAGGACCGCAUGGUCCGGUGUGAAAAACUCCGGUGGUAUAAGAUGGACCCGCGUUGGAUUAGCUUGUUGGUGGGGUAACGGCUCACCAAGGCGACGAUCCAUAGCCGGCCUGAGAGGGUGAACGGCCACAUUGGGACUGAGACACGGCCCAGACUCCUACGGGAGGCAGCAGUGGGGAAUAUUGCACAAUGGGGGAAACCCUGAUGCAGCGACGCCGCGUGAAGGAAGAAGUAUCUCGGUAUGUAAACUUCUAUCAGCAGGGAAGAUAGUGACGGUACCUGACUAAGAAGCCCCGGCUAACUACGUG
rnacentral:rRNA from 1 species